GACGAACGCUGGCGGCGUGCUUAACACAUGCAAGUCGAACGGAAAGGCCCUGCUUUUGUGGGGUGCUCGAGUGGCGAACGGGUGAGUAACACGUGAGUAACCUGCCCUUGACUUUGGGAUAACUUCAGGAAACUGGGGCUAAUACCGGAUAGGAGCUCCUGCUGCAUGGUGGGGGUUGGAAAGUUUCGGCGGUUGGGGAUGGACUCGCGGCUUAUCAGCUUGUUGGUGGGGUAGUGGCUUACCAAGGCUUUGACGGGUAGCCGGCCUGAGAGGGUGAACGGCGACAAUGGGACUGAGAUACGGCCCAGAAUACAACGGGAGGCAGCAGGGGGGAAUAUUGCACAAUGGGAGGAAGCCUGAUGCAGCAACGCCGCGUGCGGGAAGACGGCCUUCGGGUUGUAAACCGCUUUCGACUGUGACGAAGCGUGAGUGACGGUAAUGGGUAAAGAAGCACCGGCUAACUACGUG
rnacentral:rRNA from 1 species